rnacentral:rRNA from 1 species
GACGAACGCUGGCGGCGUGCUUAACACAUGCAAGUCGAACGGAGUGGCGAACGGGUGAGUAACACGUGGGUGACCUGCCCUGCACUUCGGGAUAAGCCUGGGAAACUGGGUCUAAUACCGGAAAGUGUGGGAUGGGCCGGCGGCCUAUCAGCUUGUUGGCAGGGUAAUGGCCUACGAAGGCGGCGACGGGUAGCCGGCCUGAGAGGUUGGACGGCCAAAUUGGGACUGGUACACGGCGCAGGGUGCUACGGGAGGCAGCAGUGGGGAAGAUGGCACAGUGGGCGGGAGCCUGAUGCAGCGACGCCGCGUGGGUGAUGACGGCCUUCGGGUUGUAAACUCCUUUCACCAUCGACGCGGUAGAUGGAGAAGAAGCACCGGCUAACUACGUGCCAGCCGCCGCGGUAAUAC